GGUCCAAACUCCUACGGGAGGCAGCAGUGAGGAAUAUUGGUCAAUGGACGAGAGUCUGAACCAGCCAAGUAGCGUGAAGGAUGAAGGUCCUACGGAUUGUAAACUUCUUUUAUAAGGGAAUAAACCCUCCCACGUGUGGGAGCUUGUAUGUACCUUAUGAAUAAGCAUCGGCUAACUCCGUGCCAGCAGCCGCGGUAAUACGGAGGAUGCGAGCGUUAUCCGGAUUUAUUGGGUUUAAAGGGUGCGUAGGCGGCACGCCAAGUCAGCGGUGAAAUUUCCGGGCUCAACCCGGAGUGUGCCGUUGAAACUGGCGAGCUAGAGUACACAAGAGGCAGGCGGAAUGCGUGGUGUAGCGGUGAAAUGCAUAGAUAUCACGCAGAACCCCGAUUGCGAAGGCAGCCUGCUAGGGUGAAACAGACGCUGAGGCACGAAAGCGUGGGUAUCGAACAGGAUUAGAUACCCUGGUAGUCCACGCAGUAAACGAUGAAUACUAACUGUUUGCGAUACAAUGUAAGCGGUACAGCGAAAGCGUUAAGUAUUCCACCUGGGGAGUACGCCGGCAACGGUGAAACUCAAAGGAAUUGACGGGGGCCCGCACAAGCGGAGGAACAUGUGGUUUAAUUCGAUGAUACGCGAGGAACCUUACCCGGGCUCAAACGCAGGGGGAAUGUCGGUGAAAGCCGGCAGCUAGUAAUAGUCACCUGCGAGGUGCUGCAUGGUUGUCGUCAGCUCGUGCCGUGAGGUGUCGGCUUAAGUGCCAUAACGAGCGCAACCCCUAUCGACAGUUACUAACGGGUGAAGCCGAGGACUCUGUCGAGACUGCCGGCGCAAGCCGCGAGGAAGGUGGGGAUGACGUCAAAUCAGCACGGCCCUUACGUCCGGGGCGACACACGUGUUACAAUGGCAGGUACAGAAGGCAGCCAGUCAGCAAUGACGCGCGAAUCCCGAAAACCUGUCUCAGUUCGGAUUGGAGUCUGCAACCCGACUCCAUGAAGCUGGAUUCGCUAGUAAUCGCGCAUCAGCCAUGGCGCGGUGAAUACGUUCCCGGGCCUUGUACACACCGCCCGUCAAGCCAUGGAAGCCGGGAGUACCUGAAGCAUGCAACCGCAAGGAGCGUACGAAGGUAAUACCGGUAACUGGGGCUAAGUCGUAACAAGGUAGCCGUACCGGAAGGUGCGGCUG
rnacentral:rRNA from 1 species